rnacentral:rRNA from 1 species
CACCUAACAGCUAGCCCCCCCCCACCAAAAACAACAAUUCAAUAUAAAUAAACCCUAACACAACAGCACACCCAACAAACAAAUCAUUUUUCCCCCUUAGUAUGGGCGACAGAAAAG